UCACGGACUGUUUCCAUCCAUCCCUACAGUUCAUGAAAAUUAGAAUUGGACCAAUAUUCAUAGUAAAGUGGCUGAAAUCUCAUCUUCUCUUCUCCGUUCACUGGAGAUAGCAUUUGAUAAUCCUGAGCUUAAUGAGCGAGCAGAAGCCGAGACAGGAGGACUUUCAGACGCGGGACUCAAUACAGCAGUUUUUCAUUCUGAGUUUAAUGAGCGAGCAGAAGCCGAGACAGGAGGACUUUCAGAUACCAUACUCAGUACAGCAGUUUUUCAUUCUGAGCUUAGUGAGCGAGCAGAAGCCGAGACAGGAGGACUUUCAGACGCGGGAAUCACCGUGAGCAGAAUCCGAGACAGCAAGACUUUCAGACGCGGGACUCACUCAUUUGAUAAUCCUGAGCUUAAUGAGCGAGCAGAAGCCGAGACAGGAGGACUUUCAGACGAGGGACUCAAUACAGCAGUUUUUCAUUCUGAGUUUAAUGAGCGAGCAGAAGCCGAGACAGGAAGGACCUUCAGAACCGGUACUCGCUGUGAGCAGAAGCCGAGACAGCAGGACCUUCAGACGCGGGACUCGCUGUGAGCAGAAGCCGAGACAGGCGCACUGUCAGACGCGGGAAUCACUGUGAGCAGAAGUCGAGACAGGAGGAAUUUCAGACGCGGGACUCACUGUGAGUCCUCAGAAGGGAAAAUAUCCCGGUCGGCCGCUGACCGUUUCCAUACACCCAGAUCAUUCACAACCAUUCGAAUUUAAGAAACAUUCAUAUUAAAGUGGCUGAAUUGUCAUUUUCUCCUCUCCUUUCGCUGGAGACAGCAUUUGUUAAUUGUGAGCUUUAUCAGCGACAGAAAGAAGUA